AGUCGAACGAUGAAACUUAAAAGAUUUCUUCGGAAUGAACUUAAGUGAAUUAGUGGCGAACGGGUGAGUAACGCGUGAGUAACCUGCCUUACACAAGGGGAUAGCCUCUGGAAACGGAGGAUAAUACCCUAUGAAACUAUCUCAUCGCAUGAAAAGAUAGUCAAAGUGUUUUAGCGGUGUAAGAUGGACUUGCGUCUGAUUAGCUAGUUGGUGAGAUAACAGCCCACCAAGGCAACGAUCAGUAGCCGGCUUGAGAGAGUGUACGGCCACAUUGGGACUGAGACACGGCCCAGACUCCUACGGGAGGCAGCAGUGGGGAAUUUUGCACAAUGGGGGCAACCCUGAUGCAGCGACGCCGCGUGAUUUAGAAGGCCUCCGGGUUGUAAAAAUCUUUUGUAUAGGAAGAAAAUGACAGUACUAUACGAAUAAGGUCCGGCUAAUUACGUGCCAGCAGCCGCGGUAAUACGUAAGGACCGAGCGUUGUCCGGAAUCAUUGGGCGUAAAGGGUACGUAGGCGGUUAGAAAAGUUAGAAGUGAAAGGCUAUAGCUCAACUAUAGUAAGCUUUUAAAACUGUUUAACUUGAGAGAUGGAAGGGAAAGUGGAAUUCCUAGUGUAGCGGUGAAAUGCGCAGAUAUUAGGAGGAAUACCGGUGGCGAAGGCGACUUUCUGGCCAUUAUCUGACGCUGAGGUACGAAAGCGUGGGUAGCAAACAGGAUUAG
rnacentral:rRNA from 2 species